CCUACGGGAGGCAGCAGUGGGGGAUAUUGCACAAUGGGGGAAACCCUGAUGCAGCGACGCCGCGUGGGUGAAGAAGCGCCUCGGCGCGUAAAGCCCUGUCAGCAGGGAAGAAAAUGACGGUACCUGAAGAAGAAGCCCCGGCUAACUACGUGCCAGCAGCCGCGGUCAAACGUAGGGGGCAAGCGUUAUCCGGCUUUACUGGGUGUAAAGGGGGCGCAGACGGCGAUGCAAGCCAGGAGUGAAAGCCCGGGGCCCAACCCCGGGACUGCUCUUGGAACUGCGUGGCUAGAGUGCAGGAGGGGCAGGCGGAAUUCCCGGUGUAGCGGUGAAAUGCGUAGAUAUCAGGAGGAACACCGGUGGCGAAGGCGGCCUGCUGGACUGCAACUGACGUUGAGGCCCGAAAGCGUGGGGAGCAAAGAGGAUUAGAUACCCCAGUAGUC
rnacentral:rRNA from 1 species